CCACUACUUAAUGUCUGUUGAAUGGAGUAGAAGUCCAAAGCUAAUCCAAGGAUCAUGUUGAUUCGACUUGCAAUCAAGGCCCACAGCUUAUCUGGAACCACAAAGCAUUGCCGCUGAAUUGAUAAUAAGUACGCCUCAUGUACUUCAAUGACUUCAUCCAGAGAUCCAGCUGUUGCCAUACCUUCACAAAGUUCAUGCCAUGCACUGUGAUAUACCCUAUCCAUUACAUACUGGUGGAAGGCAUCCACAAAAUGAAGGAGUUUCUGCUCCACUAACCAGUGAUGCUUGUGGCUGUUUGUCCCAGCGCCUCUGCCCUUCCACAUCCACCUCCGAACUUUGUCAAGUGCAUAUUUGGCACGCUUGACCUUCAACAAAAACCUCAUCACCUGGUUAUACUUGUUAAUUGCCUCUGCAUUAGCAAUAAGUUCAAGUGGCCAGGAGACCUUGUAUGUGAAUUUCAAAGAGUCAAGACCAUCUAUUCCAAAGCUAUGCGGACGACUCUUA
rnacentral:misc_RNA from 1 species